GUCGAUCUCACGCGACGACGGGUAGCCGGCCUGAGAGGGUGACCGGCCACACUGGGACUGAGACACGGCCCAGACUCCUACGGGAGGCAGCAGUGGGGAAUAUUGCACAAUGGGCGAAAGCCUGAUGCAGCGACGCCGCGUGAGGGAUGACGGCCUUCGGGUUGUAAACCUCUUUCAGUAGGGAAGAAGCGAAAGUGACGGUACCUGCAGAAGAAGCGCCGGCUAACUACGUGCCAGCAGCCGCGGUAAUACGUAGGGCGCAAGCGUUAUCCGGAUUUAUUGGGCGUAAAGAGCUCGUAGGCGGUUUGUCGCGUCUGCCGUGAAAGUCCGAGGCUCAACCUCGGAUCUGCGGUGGGUACGGGCAGACUAGAGUGAUGUAGGGGAGACUGGAACUCCUGGUGUAGCGGUGAAAUGCGCAGAUAUCAGGAGGAACACCGAUGGCGAAGGCAGGUCUCUGGGCAUCUACUGACGCUGAGGAGCGAAAGCAUGGGGAGCGAACAGGAUUAGAUACCCUGGUAGUCCAUGCCGUAAACGUUGGGCACUAGGUGUGGGGAACAUUCCACGUUUUCCGCGCCGUAGCUAACGCAUUAAGUGCCCCGCCUGGGGAAGUACGGGAA
rnacentral:rRNA from 1 species